rnacentral:rRNA from 1 species
UACGGAGGGUGCAAGCGUUUGUCCGGAAUCACUGGGCGUAAAGGGCGCGUAGGCGGCUCAUGAAGGCUGUGGUGAAAGUCCGGGGCUCAACCCUGGAAUGCCGGUGGAAACUGUCGAGCUAGAGUCCGGAAGAGGCGAGUGGAAUUCCUGGUGUAGCGGUGAAAUGCGCAGAUAUCAGGAGGAACACCGAUGGCGAAGGCAGCUCGCUGGGACGGUACUGACGCUGAGACGCGAAAGCGUGGGGAGGCAAAC